GGAAGCUGUGAAUGUAUCACUAGGGAACUUAUUGACAUAUCCAUUUGUGAGAGAAGCUGUGGUGAAGAAAAACAUUGCACUAAAAGGUGGACACUAUGAUUUUGAGAAUGGAUCCUUUGAGCUUUGGAAUAUUGACUUCAAACUUACUCCUUCUGUUGCACUCUAAAUAUGUUGCAAAAUUUUCAUAUAACCAAUUGUAAUUGUGUUUCAAGUUUUUCUUCUUCUUUACUUGAUUUGCAUUUUGAUGUAAAUGUAUUACUGAACAACAGUGUGGUGUGUCAUCACAUAAAUAAUGUUAAAAUGGCUGUUUUCAGCUUUUAGCUUAAU
rnacentral:misc_RNA from 1 species